rnacentral:rRNA from 1 species
AGGAGCUUGCUCCUGGAUUCAGCGGCGGACGGGUGAGUAAUGCCUAGGAAUCUGCCUGGUAGUGGGGGACAACGUUUCGAAAGGAACGCUAAUACCGCAUACGUCCUACGGGAGAAAGCAGGGGACCUUCGGGCCUUGCGCUAUCAGAUGAGCCUAGGUCGGAUUAGCUAGUUGGUGAGGUAAUGGCUCACCAAGGCGACAAUCCGUAACUGGUCUGAGAGGAUGAUCAGUCACACUGGAACUGAAACA